rnacentral:lncRNA from 1 species
AAUAACUCAAUGAAAUGAUGCAGAUUUAAGCCAUCUGUCCUCACUGUCUGUAAGGAAAGAAACAGUCUGAAAUUCACCUCCAAGACAGUUUAAAAAGUGUCUUGUGUAACAUCAAACCUCCCAGAUUUGUCAAUAGAGUAAGGUUUUAUCUAUCAGUAAGAUAGAUAUCUUUUUUCUUUCUAGCUGGUAGUUACAGCUAGAAUGUUAUAAUCUGCCAUGAUAACAACUGGAGUCUUCUAGAGAGUGGAUUUUUCCUUGUGAAAUUUUUCUCUUGGGUACCAUUAAAUGACGCACACUUCAGAGCCCUGCGAGCACUAAGAGGCCUUAAUAGCCAUGAUGGUCCCACCUGGGCACUCCCCGCUCCCUCUGCCUCUCGGCCAGCAGCUGUGUUUGCACCCAGCACCUGCCUGAGGUGUGCCAGACACGCAAUGCUCUUCAGCUCAGCCAGGCCUGGGGCCGGACCAGCACUCACUGCACCGUAGCCCAAGCCUGACCUGCAGGUUGAAUUCCUGUCUUGGCAUUGGACCUGCCUUAUCACCGUGGUA